UGGGGAAUUUUCCGCAAUGGGCGAAAGCCUGACGGAGCAAUACCGCGUGAGGGAGGAAGGCUCUUGGGUUGUAAACCUCUUUUCUCAGGGAAGAAAAAAUGACGGUACCUGAGGAAUAAGCAUCGGCUAACUCUGUGCCAGCAGCCGCGGUAAUACAGAGGAUGCAAGCGUUAUCCGGAAUGAUUGGGCCUAAAGCGUCCGCAGGUGGUUUUGUAAGUCUGCUGUUAAAGCGUGCAGCUUAACUGCAUAAAGGCGGUGGAAACUACAAGACUAGAGUACGUUAGGGGUAGAGGGAAUUCCCAGUGUAGCGGUGAAAUGCGUAGAGAUUGGGAAGAACACCAGUGGCGAAGGCGCUCUGCUAGGACUGUACUGACACUGA
rnacentral:rRNA from 1 species